UGCCAGCAGCCGCGGUAAUACGGAGGGGGCAAUCGUUAUUCGGAUUUACUGGGCGUAAAGCGCACGUAGGCGGCAGUGUAAGUCACAGGUGAAAUCCCUCGGCUCAACCGAGGAACUGCCUGCGAAACUGCGCUGCUUGAGUCCGGGAGGGGGGAGCGGAAUUCCCAGUGUAGCGGUGAAAUGCGUAGAUACUGGGAGGAACACCGGGGGCGAAGGCGGCGCCAUGGACCGGUAAUGAAGCGGAGGUGAGAACGCUUGGGUCGCAAACAGGAGUAGAUA
rnacentral:rRNA from 1 species